GGUGAGAUGGCCGAGCGGUCUAAGGCGCCAGACUAAGGAUCAGGGCAUUUGAUGUCCAACCGUGAACCUGCAAAGUUCAUCUGGUCCUCCGGGGCGUGGGUUCGAAUCCCACUCUCAUCA